GGCAAGGUAGCCAAGUCGGUCACGGCGGGCGUCUGAAAAACGUCAGAUAUUGGUUCAAUUCCAAUCCUUGCCACCA
rnacentral:tRNA from 2 species